UGGGGAAUUUUGGACAAUGGGCGAAAGCCUGAUCCAGCAAUGCCGCGUGUGUGAAGAAGGCCUUCGGGUUGUAAAGCACUUUUGUCCGGAAAGAAAUCCUUGGCUCUAAUGCAGUCGGGGGAUGACGGUACCGGAAGAAUAAGCACCGGCUAACUACGUGCCAGCAGCCGCGGUAAUACGUAGGGUGCAAGCGUUAAUCGGAAUUACUGGGCGUAAAGCGUGCGCAGGCGGUUUGCUAAGACCGAUGUGAAAUCCCCGGGCUCAACCUGGGAACUGCAUUGGUGACUGGCAGGCUAGAGUAUGGCAGAGGGGGGUAGAAUUCCACGUGUAGCAGUGAAAUGCGUAGAGAUGUGGAGGAAUACCGAUGGCGAAGGCAGCCCCUGGGCCAAUACUGACGCUCAUGCACGAAAGCGUGGGGAGCAAACAGGAUUAGAUACCCUGGUAGUCCACGCCCUAAAACGAUGUCAACUAGUUGUUGGGGAUUCAUUUCCUUAGUAACGUAGCUAACGCGUGAAGUUGACCGCCUGGGGAGUACGGUCGCAAAAAUUUAAAACUUAAAGGAAUUGACGGGGUCAUAGCUGUUUCUU
rnacentral:rRNA from 1 species